GUUUUUUAUUUAGGAAAAGCUAUCAUGAUUUUUCUUCGCCUAUGAAAAAUCAAUCUGUUGAUGAAAACUAUAAGUGACCACUGGUUACUGAAAUAUUUCAUUCUUCAUACAAUUUGUUAUGGUGCGGUGCUACUUCCAAAGUUUCUUAAUUCUGAUGAACUUUUUAUAAAAUAAGGCAAGGCCUCCAUGAAUCUUAGAACUUUAGAAAAACUGUGGAUGGACUGUUGGCCAUUCUUCUAAUGUCUUCGACUUCUGGUGAUCCAUCUUCAAAGGUUCAAACCAUCUCUUCCAAUAUGGAAAGUGGAAACCCAAGGCACAAACUCACAUUUCUUUACAUUGAGUGUCUACUGUAGAUUAAUGCAUCGUCGAAAUAGAUGACAAUCCAUUCAUUGAAGAGACUUGGCACGUUGGAGAGACUGAAAAGCAUAUUUAAAUUAUUUAAUUGACUAUCCAUACAUACAAUGACCUUAAAUGCAGUUUUUCUAUGUUUAAUUCUAAUAUGAUGGUACCUGCUUUUCAAGUCAAGCUUUUAGAAGAUGGUAAAUUUGGUGGUAAUAUCAACAUUCAAGUAUAUCAUCAAUCUUCGAUAUUGGAAACCAUUAUUUUACCAUGAUUCAAUUUUUAGCAUAUAUUAUUUUACCAUGAUUCAGUUUUUGCUUCGCAUGGACUUUAGUAUGGGAAGUUAGGUAGAGAUAAACCCGGAACGAGGUCAAUUUGAUGAGAGAUCUUUCUAUUUGAGGGUUAGACCUUCAAGUUUUUGAAAAUUCCUUCAUUAUGCUCUGACUAAUGGUGUUUCUUUGGUUGAGUAACAACAUUGACUGAUUCCAUUCCAGAUGGCUCGUUUGAUCCGAGUCGAAGAUCCUAAUCCAAGAGUAGUGUCUGGAGUUCAAAUGUCAUGGCUAAGUUAAAAUGAGUCGUUAUUGCCUAAUGAAUAAUUCAUUUUUCUCUCCAGAAAUUUCCAAAACAUCUAGAAAAGCAUUUAUGGGUAAUGUAGUCCUCCAUAAUUCAGUUACCCUUGGAGAUUGUAAAAACAAUACCUUUGUCAUGGAGUUAGGUUUUGAGAAAGUGCUCAUACAGAAUAAAAUUAAAUAAACUUGAUAGAGUUUCAUCUGAACUAACUUGAUAGAGUUGGUACUUGGUCGGUUGAGAAUGAAGACUCUGUGGCUGCAGAAGAUGUCAAUAGCGAAUAUAGAAUUGAUGAUAGUAGAAUUAAUCAACCUCAGGGGUGAAGAUACCAUAUAAGAACAUUAGGCAAAUGGAAUAACUGAUUCUGUUAAAUGAUCGGGAAAUUGAAUGCUUU
rnacentral:lncRNA from 1 species